CUUCCAUAUAGCGUUGUCAAACUCUUAAAAAAAUUAUCGUGGUACCAAAAUAUAAUUACAUCUAUCAUAUCAACCCGAUCAAAGUUGGUUCCACCCUAUUUUUCAUCAUGGUGCCUAUAAAUAUUGCUACAACUGACUUCUUUAAAUCUCGCAUAUUUUUCUUUGGUUCUUAAUUCUUCUGAGUUUGCAUUAUAUUAAAAACCAUCAUUUUAUGUUCAAACAUCUUUCUCCCUUCAAAAAAAAAAAUGUUCAAACAUCUUUCUAUCUCUCUAUAUGUUUCAGACUAUGUCUCUUUUUUGUUCAAUUUUCUUCUUUUUUUAGAAAGGAGUGAAAUAUGUUGAUUGUUCUUCGACCAAUUAUUUUUUGGGUUUGUCUAAAUUUUAUUGAUUUGUUCUAUUUUUUUCCAGUUAUUUAAAUUCAUUCAAAAAAUAGAAGCACGAGACUACAAUACAAGGAUUGAAGUUCAACACUAUAAAGAAUAUUCUUUUUAGGGGCACCGCAAAUAUUUUAGAGUUGUAUAUUUUACAGAACUAAUAAGUUGUAUAACAUCUCAUAAAUAUUUGUAUAUGUAUACAUACAAAGUUGUAUAUCUUAAUGAAUGCAUACGUUGUAGAGUUGUAUAUUUCCAAUCGGACAACAAAAUAUUGAAUGCUUUUGCUAUUAAUUUUUUUUGGGUGUUCAAAGAACUCUGAUCUACAAAUUUAAGGAGUUAAGGAAGGAAAAAGUCUAUUCUGAGUAACUUUGGUGUUGCUACAAAUCUUGGAUCUUAUUGGACAAAAAAAACAAGACAAAUUUUGAUUAUUAAAUGUUUGCUUAAACGGAACAUAGCAAUAGCCAAAUAAAGCCAGAAGGAUGCACAACAUGCUAAAAACUAUGGGAUUGUGUGGUGGUUUCAUUCAAGGAGCUUUUUUCCCGUUUCUUUCAUGAGAAAGUAAGGAUUAAACGAAUGACAUCAAAAAAUGAAGAAAACAAUUCGUCGUAAUGACAAGACUUCUCAUGAGCCUAAAUUGAGUUGGAUAAUCAUAUUAUACUAAGAGAAAUUGCACAAGUGAGAUUAACAUCACACCUUCAUCCAAAUUCUAAAGGCAUUAGAUACAAGGGCAAUCUCACUAUAUGUUUUCCACUUUCUAAUAUUGCAUGCAAUCUGGAACUUUAAC
rnacentral:lncRNA from 1 species